UCUUACACAUGAUAAUGCUUUCUCUGUUUUCAUGUUAGAUAUAUCUUAAGUACAAGACACCAACACAUUUUGUUCUGAUUCUGAGUACUGGACAUAUCACACAAUUAACCUAAACACUUAUCAAACUUUGACCAGUCAUUAUCCUUUUGCUUAGUUCUCAUUUUGUUAAUGUGUUUGAAGAAUACAACCUUGUACUAGUGUGAUGCUCAUAGAGAAAGAGAGAGAGAAAGAAAAAAGAAAAAGAAAAUUAUGAGAGAUAGAGCAUUGAAGAGUUGUUGGCAUUUGGGGAGGAUGCAGUCCUCAUUAACGCCAUCACUGGUCAACCUCUUCUAACUAACUAAUGGGGUCUUACCCUCCACUCUCUCCACCAUGGCACUUCUUAUUAUCUGCUUCUACAUACCCUCCCUCACGCACCUUAUUAGUAACAAAUCACGCCUCAUUUUCCUUCAUUCCCAUUUCUCAUCACUUACCUUGAUUACUUAUUACUCACACUUUUCAUUUUUUAUUUUUUAUUUUUUUGUGUUUGUCUCUUUUGCAGAUUUAGCAAGGUAGACAAGUGUUGAAGGAAAGGACUUUUAAGCAUCUACUAUAUAUAGGAUCGAUGGAGGGGAUUUAGAUCUAUCUAUGGCGUUAUUCUAGGUUUAUUGGUUAUUGUGAUUCUAGAUCAUUAUCUUCCUAAGAGUCUCUAGCAGAGAUCAAUUUACAUUUGACAGAGGCACAGAAUACUGGAGGAGUUUGUUUUUCUUUGGGAAAGGGCAUGUACCGUGUGCUUUAUAUUCCUGAAGAUGAAGCUGUUCUCUUGAAUUCUAGGGAGAAGGUGCCUUACAUGAUCUGUGUUGAAGUAUUGAGAUGUGACAUGAUAAGGUUAGGGACUUAAGCUCUCAUCUGAAUACUCUAGCAGAGUCAGAAACAGAGGGUGUCCAAGGAGCUGCUGUGGUUUUUAAUCAGGCCCCGCUUUAUAAACAUAAACACAAAUAUGAAGGCUAUGCUAUAGACUGGAGUCUUCUUGUUCCCGGAGCCAGAAGGCUUGUAUCUGGAAUUGAAUCAAGAGAGUGAGAUUUCAUCGCCAAAAUAGUUAGAAAGUAGGUCUUCUGGAGCAAGCAAUAGAGCAGCAUGAAAUAUGGAGAUUUUAUGUAUUAAGAUUUACAUGUUAUGACAUUUAUAGUUGAAAAAUUAUGUUAUGUUUGAUACUUUGUAUAGAAGUUAUUACUUUUGAUUUCUAAUACUAAAAAAUCAUAUAUUAUGUUUAAUACUUUGUUUCUGAGUUAUAUAAUAUUUUGUUUAUGGAUUA